rnacentral:lncRNA from 1 species
GGGGUUGGCUCUAACGAAUUUGAAUGAGGAGUCUCAGCGCUUUCGGCGCCAUUUUCGAGUGAUGCCUGAUCUCAUCAAUCUAGCGGGAGGGAAGGGAUAACCUGUCCGAGCCUAGCGCGACGCUAGGAUCACGCCGGAAAAUCCCCCAAAAAUCAUCAAAAAAAUUAACUUAGAGCAGAGGGCAGUCGGUGGGGCUUCGCCAGAUGCGGCGCAGUCGAUUUUAACCAUUAGAAGAAUACCAGUUCUGGAAAACAACCAAAGUUUCUUUGAUUGAAUGCCCAUGUAAUGCAUUGGAAUAUGAUAGGCGAUUAAGGUUUAACAAUGUUAAAAUGAAGAUAUUACUAAAAUGGCCCUCUAAAUAGCCCAACAAUUAUUAUUUUCUUUGUCCUAUGGAUUUGGCUUUGAAAGAUGUGCUGCUCUUAAUAAGGUAAAAACCAACUUUUGUAGCUAUUUCAUGUGUUAAGCACAUUCAAAAGUUGUUAGUUUAAUAAAUGAGGUUCUUAAGUUGGUAUGGGAAAAUGACUUGCUUUUCUCGUUUCAUGACUACAAUAAAUUACAGCACUGUAUUAA